rnacentral:rRNA from 1 species
CACUAUGCCUAGCCAUAAACAUCGAUAGUAAACUACACCUACUAUCCGCCCGGGGACUACGAGCAUCAGCUUGAAACCCAAAGGACUUGGCGGUGCUUUAGAUCCACCUAGAGGAGCCUGUUCUAGAACCGAUUACCCCCGUUCAACCUCACCUUUCCUUGUUUUAUCCCGCCUAUAUACCACCGUCGUCAGCUUACCCUGUGAAGGACUCAUAGUAAGCAAGAUUGGCACAGCCCAAAACGUCAGGUCGAGGUGUAGCGUAUGGAAAGGGAAGAAAUGGGCUACAUUCCCUAAUACAGUGAAAUACGAACGAUACACUGAAAUACGUAUCCGAAGGAGGAUUUAGCAGUAAGCAGAAAAUAGAGCGUUCCGCUGAAACCGGCCCUGAAGCGCGCACACACCGCCCGUCACUCUCCCCGAGCUUACCGACUCUAUAAUACUUAAAACCUCAAAACUGCAAAGGGGAGGCAAGUCGUAA